rnacentral:rRNA from 1 species
UACGAAGGGGGCUAGCGUUGCUCGGAAUCACUGGGCGUAAAGGGUGCGUAGGCGGGUUUUUAAGUCAGAGGUGAAAUCCUGGAGCUCAACUCCAGAACUGCCUUUGAUACUGAAAUUCUUGAGUAUGGGAGAGGUGAGUGGAACUGCGAGUGUAGAGGUGAAAUUCGUAGAUAUUCGCAAGAACACCAGUGGCGAAGGCGACUUACUGGACUGUAACUGACGCUGAGGAGCGAAAGCAUGGGGAGCGAACAGG